rnacentral:rRNA from 1 species
AACGGACGCUGGCGGCAUGCCUAACACAUGCAAGUCGAACGAGACCUUCGGGUCUAGUGGCGCACGGGUGCGUAACGCGUGGGAACCUGCCCUUAGGUUCGGAAUAACUCCCCGAAAGGGGUGCUAAUACCGGAUAAUGUCUUCGGACCAAAGAUUUAUCGCCUUUGGAUGGGCCCGCGUUGGAUUAGCUAGUUGGUAGGGUAAAAGCCUACCACGGCGACGAUCCAUAGCUGGUCUGAGAGGAUGAUCAGCCACACUGGGACUGAGACACGGCCCAGACUCCUACGGGAGGCAGCAGUGGGGAAUAUUGGACAAUGGGCGAAAGCCUGAUCCAGCAAUGCCGCGUGAGUGAUGAAGGCCUUAGGGUUGUAAAGCUCUUUUACCCGGGAUGAUAAUGACAGUACCGGGAGAAUAAGCUCCGGCUAACUCCGUG